rnacentral:rRNA from 1 species
GACGAACGCUGGCGGCGUGCUUAACACAUGCAAGUCGAACGGAAAGGCCCUGCUUGCAGGGUGCUCGAGUGGCGAACGGGUGAGUAACACGUGGGUGAUCUGCCCCUUACUUUGGGAUAAGCCUGGGAAACUGGGUCUAAUACUGGAUAGGACCAUGCUGUAGGUGGUGUGGUGGAAAGAUUAGUUUCAGUAAGGGAUGAGCUCGCGGCCUAUCAGCUUGUUGGUGGGGUAAUGGCCUACCAAGGCGUCGACGGGUAGCCGGCCUGAGAGGGUGGACGGCCACAUUGGGACUGAGAUACGGCCCAGACUCCUACGGGAGGCAGCAGUGGGGAAUAUUGCACAAUGGGCGCAAGCCUGAUGCAGCGACGCCGCGUGGGGGAUGACGGCCUUCGGGUUGUAAACUCCUUUCAGCCAUGACGAAGCCCUUGUGGUGACGGUAGUGGUAGAAGAAGCACCGGCUAACUACGUG